CCUACGGGCGGCAGCAGUGAGGAAUAUUGGUCAAUGGGCUUACGCCUGAACCAGCCAAGUCGCGUGAGGGAAGACUGCCCUAUGGGUUGUAAACCUCUUUUGUCAGGGAGCAACGCCGGCUACGUGUAGCCGGACUGAGAGUACCUGAAGAAAAAGCAUCGGCUAACACCGUGCCAGCAGCCGCGGUAAUACGGAGGAUGCGAGCAUUAUCCGGAUUUUUUGGGUUUAAAGGGUGCGUAGGCGGAAUGCCAAGUCGGCGGUAAAAUCGCGGGGCUCAACCUCGCUCCGCCGUUGAAACUGGCGUUCUUGAGUGGGCUAGAAGUAUGCGGAAUGCGUGGUGUAGCGGUGAAAUGCAUAGAUAUCACGCAGAACUCCGAUUGCGAAGGCAGCAUACCGGCGCCCAACUGACGCUGAAGCACGAAAGCGUGGGUAUCGAACAGGAUUAGAUACCCGAGUAGUC
rnacentral:rRNA from 1 species